GACGAACGCUGGCGGCGUGCUUAACACAUGCAAGUCGAACGGAAAGGCCCUGCUUUUGUGGGGUGCUCGAGUGGCGAACGGGUGAGUAACACGUGAGUAACCUCCCCUUGACUUUGGGAUAACAUCAGGGAAAUGGGGCUAAUACCGGAUAGGAGCUCCUGCUGCGUGGGGGUGGUUGGAAAGUUUCGGCGGUUGGGGCUGGACUCGAAGCUUAUCAGCUUGAUUGUGUGGUAGUGGCGUAACAAGGCUGUGACGGGUAGCCGGCCUGAGAGGGUGACCGGCCACAUUGGGACUACGAUACGGACCAGACUCCUACGGGAGGCAGCAGUGGGGAACAUGACGCAAUGGGCCGAAGCCUGAUGCAGCAACGUCGCGAUCGUGAUGACGGCCUUUGGGUGGUAAACAGCUUUCUGCGGUGACGAAGAGUGAGUGACGGUAAUGGGUAAAGAAGCACCGGCUAACUACGUG
rnacentral:rRNA from 1 species